ACGCUUAGCUGACUGAGCCACCCAGGCGCCCCAUCUUGUGCUUGUCAGUUGUGCUUCUUAGGAUACUUUGCUUUGCCCUAAGGAGCUCAUUCUGUCCUUCCCUUCAGACAAGAGGCAGGUCUUCUUCGUCACCGUCCCCUCUCCGGUGUCCGGCCUGGGGUGGGCUCUUGGUCCUUGUUGGGUUGAGUUGAUUCGAGGCUAAAUGACACCUGUGCCGAGUCCUUCCCUGCAGGGAGGAGACCCUUCUCCAUCACACCGGUUCCCACCAUCUAGAGGAGACAUGCUGGGCAGAUUCACGGCCAGUCCUCACAGCGGUGGAGAGAUACAGACAAAUUCCACACAUGACCGUGGCCUUUGUGACGCGUGGACAGAUCUGGUCCUCCCUGCUGCCCUGAAGACACCGCACUCUCCCCAGCGAGGCUGCCUGAGCUCGGUGAGAAAUGGUCCCGAGGAAUCAGGAGGCUGUGGGCAUUUUCCUACCGCUGGCUGCCCGCGAUUCGGACGCACCGUGCAACGGACAGGGACAGUAACGAAAAAGAAGAAACACGGAUGAAGUGAAUGGCCGGUCGCCUCAGGCAAAUGUCCCCUGCAGUUGCUGGUACUGUGAAAAAUAAAAAAAGUCACCAAUCAAAA